rnacentral:tRNA from 1 species
GUGCCUAUAGCUUAGUGGUAAAGCUCCGCUCUGUGGAAGCGGCGAGGAGGGUUCGAUUCCCUUUAGGCACC